AGAAUCAACGCUGGCGGCGUGCCUAACACAUGCAAGUCGCACGAGAAAGGGACUUCGGUCCUGAGUACAGUGGCGCACGGGUGAGUAACACGUGAAUAAUCUACCUCCGAGUGGGGAAUAAACUGAGAGAAAUCUUAGCUAAUACCGCAUAACACUUACGAGUCAAAGCAGCAAUGCGCUUGGAGAGGAGUUCGCGGCAGAUUAGUUAGUUGGCGGGGUAAUGGCCCACCAAGACGAUGAUCUGUAUCC
rnacentral:rRNA from 1 species